rnacentral:rRNA from 1 species
CAUAGGUUAAUGAGGCGAACCGGGGGAACUGAAACAUCUAAGUACCCCGAGGAAAAGAAAUCAACCGAGAUUCCCCCAGUAGCGGCGAGCGAACGGGGAGCAGCCCAGAGCCUGAAUCAGUGUGUGUGUUAGUGGAAGCGUCUGGAAAGGCGCGCGAUACAGGGUGACAGCCCCGUACACAAAAAUGCACAUGCUGUGAGCUCGAUGAGUAGGGCGGGACACGUGGUAUCCUGUCUGAAUAUGGGGGGACCAUCCUCCAAGGCUAAAUACUCCUGACUGACCGAUAGUGAACCAGUACCGUGAGGGAAAGGCGAAAAGAACCCCGGCGAGGGGAGUGAAAAAGAACCUGAAACCGUGUACGUACAAGCAGUGGGAGCACGCUUCGGCGUGUGACUGCGUACCUUUUGUAUAAUGGGUCAGCGACUUAUAUUCUGUAGCAAGGUUAACCGAAUAGGGGAGCCGAAGGGAAACCGAGUCUUAACUGGGCGUUAAGUUGCAGGGUAUAGACCCGAAACCCGGUGAUCUAGCCAUGGGCAGGUUGAAGGUUGGGUAACACUAACUGGAGGACCGAACCGACUAAUGUUGAAAAAUUAGCGGAUGACUUGUGGCUGGGGGUGAAAGGCCAAUCAAACCGGGAGAUAGCUGGUUCUCCCCGAAAGCUAUUUAGGUAGCGCCUCGUGAAUUCAUCUCCGGGGGUAGAGCACUGUUUCGGCAAGGGGGUCAUCCCGACUUACCAACCCGAUGCAAACUGCGAAUACCGGAGAAUGUUAUCACGGGAGACACACGGCGGGUGCUAACGUCCGUCGUGAAGAGGGAAACAACCCAGACCGCCAGCUAAGGUCCCAAAGUCAUGGUUAAGUGGGAAACGAUGUGGGAAGGCCCAGACAGCCAGGAUGUUGGCUUAGAAGCAGCCAUCAUUUAAAGAAAGCGUAAUAGCUCACUGGUCGAGUCGGCCUGCGCGGAAGAUGUAACGGGGCUAAACCAUGCACCGAAGCUGCGGCAGCGACACUGUGUGUUGUUGGGUAGGGGAGCGUUCUGUAAGCCUGUGAAGGUGUACUGUGAGGUAUGCUGGAGGUAUCAGAAGUGCGAAUGCUGACAUAAGUAACGAUAAAGCGGGUGAAAAGCCCGCUCGCCGGAAGACCAAGGGUUCCUGUCCAACGUUAAUCGGGGCAGGGUGAGUCGACCCCUAAGGCGAGGCCGAAAGGCGUAGUCGAUGGGAAACAGGUUAAUAUUCCUGUACUUGGUGUUACUGCGAAGGGGGGACGGAGAAGGCUAUGUUGGCCGGGCGACGGUUGUCCCGGUUUAAGCGUGUAGGCUGGUUUUCCAGGCAAAUCCGGAAAAUCAAGGCUGAGGCGUGAUGACGAGGCACUACGGUGCUGAAGCAACAAAUGCCCUGCUUCCAGGAAAAGCCUCUAAGCAUCAGGUAACAUCAAAUCGUACCCCAAACCGACACAGGUGGUCAGGUAGAGAAUACCAAGGCGCUUGAGAGAACUCGGGUGAAGGAACUAGGCAAAAUGGUGCCGUAACUUCGGGAGAAGG